rnacentral:rRNA from 1 species
UACGGGGGGGGCAAGCGUUGUUCGGAAUUACUGGGCGUAAAGGGCUCGUAGGCGGCCAACUAAGUCAUACGUGAAAUCCCUCGGCUUAACCGGGGAACUGCGUCUGAUACUGGAUGGCUUGAGUUCGGGAGAGGGAUGCGGAAUUCCAGGUGUAGCGGUGAAAUGCGUAGAUAUCGGGAGGAACACCUGAGGCGAAGGCGGGCUACUGGGCCGAUACUGACGCUGAUGCGCGAAAGCCAGGGGAGCAAACGGG